GCACUGCUGACGAGUCCCGAACGGGACGAAACAGCUGUCCAGUGA
rnacentral:hammerhead_ribozyme from 1 species